rnacentral:rRNA from 1 species
UACGGGGGGAGCAAGCGUUGUUCGGAUUUACUGGGCGUAAAGGGCGCGUAGGCGGCCACCGCAAGUCGACUGUGAAAUCUCCGGGCUUAACCCGGAAAGGUCAGCCGAUACUGCGGGGCUAGAGUGCAGAAGGGGCAACUGGAAUUCUCGGUGUAGCGGUGAAAUGCGUAGAUAUCGAGAGGAACACCUGCGGCGAAGGCGGGUUGCUGGGCUGACACGUGA